AUGUCCGAUUCCGAUUCAUCCUCUUAUGGCGGCGAAUACAAAAACCUCAAACAAAUUAGUCGCGAGAGAUUAUUACAUGAAAUGCUCAGGUCAGCGAAAACAGGGGAUUCAAAAUCUACAUGGAAGGUACUAAUAAUGGACAAACUUACUGUUAAGAUAAUGUCUCACUCUUGCAAGAUGGCGGAUAUCACUGAUGAAGGUGUUUCAU